CCCUUAGACGUUCUGGGCCGCACGCGCGCUACACUGACCAGUGCAACAAGCAUCCGUCCUUGGCCGACAGGCCCGGGCAAUCUUUGAACGCUGGUCGUGAUGGGGAUAGACUUUUGCAAUUUUUGAUCUUCAACGAGGAAUUCCUAGUAAAUGCGAGUCAUCAUCUCGCGUUGAUUACGUCCCUGCCCUUUGUACACACCGCCCGUCGCACCUACCGAUUGAAUGGUCCGGUGAAGCCUCGGGAUUGCGAAUGCUUCGUGCGGACGCGAGAACUUGGCUAAACCUUACCAUUUAGAGGAAGGUGAAGUCGUAACA
rnacentral:rRNA from 1 species